rnacentral:rRNA from 1 species
GAUGAACGCUGGCGGCGUGCCUAAUACAUGCAAGUCGAGCGAACAGAUGAGUAGCUUGCUCCUCUGACGUUAGCGGCGGACGGGUGAGUAACACGUGGAUAACCUACCUAUAAGACUGGGAGAACGUCGGGAAACCGGAUCUAAUACCGGAUAAUAUAUUGAACUGCAUGGUUCAAUAGAGAAAGACGGUUUUGCUGUCACUUAUAGAUGGAUCCGCGCCGCAUUAGCUAGUUGGUAGGGUAACGGCUUACCAAGGCAACGAUGCGUAGCCGACCUGAGAGGGUGAUCGGCCACACUGGAACUGAGACACGGUCCCGACUCCUACGGGAGGCAGCAGUAGGGAAUCUUCCGCAAUGGGCGAAAGCCUGACGGAGCAACGCCGCGUGAGUGAUGAAGGUCUUCGGAUCGUAAAACUCUGUUAUUAGGGAAGAACAAAUGUGUAAGUAACUAUGCACGUCUUGACGGUACCUAAUCAGAAAGCCACGGCUAACUACGUG